GUUCGUGGGUCUUUUGUGGUUGUGAAGUAGUGCUCAAACUCUUUUAGUUUGAGCGCUACUUCACAACCACAAAAGACCCA